rfam:Mesitornis unicolor contig64622, whole genome shotgun sequence.
AAAACGGAUUUUUUAAAAUCCAUUUGAUAUUUAAAAUGCAAGGAUUU